rnacentral:rRNA from 1 species
AGUGAACGCUGGCGGUAGGCCUAACACAUGCAAGUCGAACGGCAGCACAGUAAGAGCUUGCUCUUACGGGUGGCGAGUGGCGGACGGGUGAGGAAUACAUCGGAAUCUACUUUUUCGUGGGGGAUAACGUAGGGAAACUUACGCUAAUACAGCAUACGACCUACGGGUGAAAGCAGGGGAUCUUCGGACCUUGCGCGAUUGAAUGAGCCGAUGUCGGAUUAGCUAGUUGGCGGGGUAAAGGCCCACCAAGGCGACGAUCCGUAGCUGGUCUGAGAGGAUGAUCAGCCACACUGGAACUGAGACACGGUCCAGACUCCUACGGGAGGCAGCAGUGGGGAAUAUUGGACAAUGGGCGCAAGCCUGAUCCAGCCAUACCGCGUGGGGGAAGAAGGCCUUCGGGUUGUAAAGCCCUUUUGUUGGGAAAGAAAAGCAGCAGGUUAAUACCCCGCUGUUCUGACGGUACCCAAAGAAUAAGCACCGGCUAACUUCGUG